rnacentral:lncRNA from 1 species
GAGAGCCAGAGUCAGAUAGUGGUACGAGCGACUCUUCUAAGGGUAUUUUUGGCCCCUGUGCAAGCAAAUCCUCAACUUCCAAGCUCCCCUGAGAACUCUAUGCUGUACCCCAGCUCAUCCAACCAAAUGCUUGGUCACAGCAGCUCCAGAAACUCUCUGCACACCAUGCCUACUGAGAAGAGUUUCCUAUCCAAGGGGCCCAUAGACAUCUCAGGCCAUUAAAAAUCUGCAGUUUGAGAACAGGGUGUGUCCCCAGGGUUAAAGGUCACAUACUCAGAGCGAGGAUUGGUCAUGUAGCUGAUAAGUGUGUCCUUUGUCUCCUGGUUCCCUAUGCUCCUCUAUACAGUGCAGCUAGCAUGCUGGAUGACAGCAGGCUACAUACACUGCUAGCGUGGUGGGCUCAGAGGCGGUGUGGAGGACACUCAGCGCAUGUGGAUGGGAGUGGUUGGGCAUGGCGCUGCCCUCACCUGCUCUGGCUGCUUGGGUUCCUGGCAUGCUGAUUUGUGACUUGAGAUUAAAAUCACAUUGCCAGGGAUUACCACGCAACCAUGACCUUGGCUGCUCCUGCAGAACCGUGGCUACUUUCUCUCUGCAGUUUGGAGAACAGAGGCACCUUGUGGCUCUUUGGGAAAAAAAAAAAAAAAAAAGAAGCCACCAGCCUUCGAAGAUGCUCACCAGCCCUUUAAUUAUGGCCGGCGAUGACCUCUCUAACAAGGUGCAGAGCUUAGCUGAUUGGUGAACAGUGAUUGGUUUCCGCUUUGUUCACAGUGGCUAAGUUCUGCACCUGAAGAGAAGGUGAGAUGGGGACAGUUAACUUGCAGCUGCCAGGCAGAGGCCACUGCCUGGUGGUCACUCCAGAGGAGGAGAGACCAGCCUGCCUCAAGGCUGUGUUGUCAAGAGUGCAAGCAGCGUGCUGACCACCCUUAAAUGUGCCUACAGAAAAUACAGAUCUACUGCUAAUUAGUCCACUGUAAUAUCAAGUGUAUUGGAGUCACAGAAAACUAAAACCAGAUGCAUCACAAAAGCUGAGCGGAGUCUCAGCUGAUGCCACACGUGAGGGUGGGGUUGGGGGUGGUUCUUUUGUCCCUGCUGGGCGUGGUGAACUCUUUCUUGUAUUUGCAGUCCAGGU